AGGGUGCCCUACACAUGCAGUCGACGAGGUCCAUGGGGUGGCAACACUCCGGAAGACCUAGUGGCGAACGGGUGAGUAACACGUGAGGAACUUGCCCCAGAGACUGGGAUAAGCCCCCGAAAGGGGGUCUAAUACCGGAUGUCCUCACCGAGUCGCAUGGCUUGGUGAGGAAAUGGAUUCCGCUCCGGGAGAGCCUCGCGGCCUAUCAGCUUGUUGGUGGGGUAACGGCCCACCAAGGCGUCGACGGGUAGCUGGUCUGAGAGGAUGAUCAGCCAGACAGGGACUGAGACACGGCCCUGACUCCUUUGGGGGGCAGCAAUGAGGGAUAUUGCACAAUGGGCGAAAGCCUGAUGCAGCGACGCCGCGUGGGCGAUGAAGUCUUUCGGGAUGUAAAGCCCUUUUCUCAGGGACGAAAAGGACGGUACCUGAGGAAGAAGCCCCGGCUAACUACGUGCCAGCAGCCGCGGUAAUA
rnacentral:rRNA from 1 species